rnacentral:rRNA from 1 species
CCUACGGGAGGCAGCAGUCGAGAAUCAUUCACAAUGGGGGAAACCCUGAUGGUGCGACGCCGCGUGGGGGAAUGCAGGUCUUCGGAUUGUAAACCCCUGUCAUGUGGGAGCAAAUUAAAAAGAUAGUACCACAAGAGGAAGAGACGGCUAACUCUGUGCCAGCAGCCGCGGUAAUACAGAGGUCUCAAGCGUUGUUCGGAAUCACUGGGCGUAAAGCGUGCGUAGGCUGUUUCGUAAGUCGUGUGUGAAAGGCGCGGGCUUAACCCGCGGACUGCACAUGAUACUGCGAGACUAGAGUGAUGGUGAGGGAGCCGGAAUGUUUGGUGUAGCAGUGAAAUGCGUAGAGAUCGAGAGGAACACUGAUUGCGAAGGCAGCUUCCUGGACAUUAACUGACGCUGAGGCACGAAGGCCAGGGGAGCGAAAGGGAUUAGAUACCCUUGUAGUC